ensembl:lncRNA
GGAGGGCCUUGGAACGGGGAGUUGGGGUUGCACACCUGUGCCAAUUAGUAGGUCAGGGGAAGACAAAGGAUGAGCCCUUGACAGAGUUUGGGGUUUUUCUUUGGAAUCGAAUGUUGGAGUUGUUUAUCCAAAGAUAAAGAAUGCGCAUACCGGAAUAAACAGAACAGCAUAUUGAAACCCCUGAGGCAUCCGAAGUGACUUAUUGGAAGGCACUAAAGACUUCCUCCCUGGCAACCAUCACAGAAAAUGGGAUACAUGGAGCAUCUUCAGGGAUGAUGUUGGGAAGAGCAGUGACUGAAAAUGGAAAAAAGCACUUCAGCCAGUGGACAUCAAAGACUUUGUUCGUGCGGAAGUAACUAAUAUUUAAUGAAAACAAUUUGAAGUCCAUCAAGAGGUCUGAGGUUGUUUUCAAACAAAUUGGCAUGUUUCCCAGGUUUUCUUCCUUUUUUGGCUUUAAGACUAUGUCUGCUAUGUUGCACUUAGGAUUCAUGAUUGCAGAUGGUGUUGGAAAGAAUUACGUAAUGCAUUUGGCCACAUAUUUUAACGACAUUCAGACAGCAGAAGCAGCCUGGCGUAGCUCCAGGAGGCGGGCCACAAUCAACAUUGUUGAAACGUUUCCUUAACGAAAACGGAAAUUAUGUCUGUUAUGGUGUUCAUAUCGGUUUUAAUAAAAAUACAUUUUCAUAUUAUU